ACAUGGGCCAGCAUCCCUGUGGAACGGUUCUAACACCUUGUAGAGUCCAUGACCCGAUGGAUUGAGGUGGUUCUAACACCUUGUAGAGUCCAUGACCCGACGGAUUGAGGUGGUUCUAACACCUUGUAGAGUCCAUGACCCGACGGAUUGAGGCGGUUCUAACACCUUGUAGAGUCCAUGACCCGACGGAUUGAGGCGGUUCUAACACCUUGUAGAGUCCAUGACCCGACGGAUUGAGGCGGUUCUAACACCUUGUAGAGUCCAUGACCCGACGGAUUGAGGCGGUUCUAACACCUUGUAGAGUCCAUGACCCGACGGAUUGAGGCGGUUCUAACACCUUGUAGAGUCCAUGACCCGACGGAUUGAGGCGGUUCUAACACCUUGUAGAGUCCAUGACCCGACGGAUUGAGGCGGUUCUAACACCUUGUAGAGUCCAUGACCCGACGGAUUGAGGUGGUUCUAACACCUUGUAGAGUCCAUGACCCGACGGAUUGAGGUGGUUCUAACACCUUGUAGAGUCCAUGACCCGACGGAUUGAGGCGGUUCUAACACCUUGUAGAGUCCAUGACCCGACGGAUUGAGGCGGUUCUAACACCUUGUAGAGUCCAUGACCCGACGGAUUGAGGCGGUUCUAACACCUUGUAGAGUCCAUGACCCGACGGAUUGAGGCGGUUCUAA